rnacentral:lncRNA from 1 species
CAGUAGUCUUUCUUACCUAGAGCAUAUGCCUCGACGGCAAAAUUCACCUUAAUUUUAAUGAGCUUGGUGGAUUUGUGAAAGGCCUCCACAGCUGACCACCCUGCCUCAGCGACUUGCCUCUCCAUCUUUUUUUCGACUUCAAGAACUUCGGCCUGCGCUGCCCGACGUCUUUCUCUCUCUCGACAGUCAAAUCUACUUUGGCUUCUUUUUUGGCCUCUUCUUUAUCUGCCUUUGUCCUUUCUAAUUCGAUCCUUAGCUAUUCGGCUUCAACUUCAGCAUCCCUUAGCCUUUCAUGUGCCUCAGCAAGCUUUGACUCUACUUCUUAUAUCGAGAUAAUAAAAAGCCACAACCUGAUGCCCCAGUAGAACCAACUAAACAUGGAUCAGUAAAAAUACUAAGAGUUCAAAGAAGAGUUCAAAAGAACUCACCCAGAC